rnacentral:rRNA from 1 species
CAGCAGCCGCGGGAAUACGGAGGGGGCUAGCGUUGUUCGGAAUUACUGGGCGUAAAGCGCACGUAGGCGGCUUGGUAAGUUAGAGGUGAAAGCCCGGAGCUCAACUCCGGAAUUGCCUUUAAGACUGCCGAGCUAGCAGGUGAGAGAGGUAAGUGGAAUUCCGAGUGUAGAGGUGAAAUUCGUAGAUAUUCGGAAGAACACCAGUGGCGAAGGCGGCUUACUGGCUCAUACUGGACGCUGAGGUGCGAAAGCGUGGGGAGCAAACAGGAUUAGAUACCCGUGUAGUCCCUGUCUCUUAUAC